UGAAGAUAUAGGGCUAGUACUUAUAAGAGC
rnacentral:piRNA from 1 species